UGGAAAGCAAAUGCCUUCUCUACCCCCAU
rnacentral:piRNA from 2 species